CCUACGGGAGGCAGCAGUGGGGAAUUUUGGACAAUGGGCGCAAGCCUGAUCCAGCAAUGCCGCGUGAGUGAAGAAGGCCUUCGGGUUGUAAAGCUCUUUUGUCAGGGAAGAAACGGUGGAGGUUAAUACCUUCUGCUAAUGACGGUACCUGAAGAAUAAGCACCGGCUAACUACGUGCCAGCAGCCGCGGUAAUACGUAGGGUGCAAGCGUUAAUCGGAAUUACUGGGCGUAAAGCGUGCGCAGGCGGUUGUGCAAGACAGAUGUGAAAUCCCCGGGCUCAACCUGGGAAUUGCAUUUGUGACUGCACGGCUAGAGUGUGUCAGAGGGGGGUAGAAUUCCACGUGUAGCAGUGAAAUGCGUAGAGAUGUGGAGGAAUACCGAUGGCGAAGGCAGCCCCCUGGGAUAACACUGACGCUCAUGCACGAAAGCGUGGGGAGCAAACAGGAUUAGAUACCCUGGUAGUCCACGCCCUAAACGAUGUCUACUAGUUGUCGGGUCUUAAUUGACUUGGUAACGCAGCUAACGCGUGAAGUAGACCGCCUGGGGAGUACGGUCGCAAGAUUAAAACUCAAAGGAAUUGACGG
rnacentral:rRNA from 1 species